rnacentral:rRNA from 1 species
GUAGUCUGCAACCCGACUACAUGAAGCUGGAAUCGCUAGUAAUCGCGGAUCAGAAUGCCGCGGUGAAUACGUUCCCGGGUCUUGUACACACCGCCCGUCACACCAUGGGAGUCGGAAAUGCCCGAAGUCUGUGACCGAACCGAAAGGGAGGAGCAGCCGAAGGCAGGUCGGAUGACUGGGGUGAAGUCGUAACAAGGUACC